rnacentral:sRNA from 1 species
UGAAAUCUAAAUGUUGAGUUCGCGUUUCACAAGACUAGAUUUCAUCCCUCAAGGAUUUUUCCAAGUUCCACCUCUUGGAAAAAUAUAUUCAUUUUGGUGAAAUCUAAGUGUUGAGUUUGCUAUUCACAA